UCUACGGUGGUCAGCAGUGAGGAAUAUUGGUCAAUGGGCGGGAGCCUGAACCAGCCAAGUCGCGUGAGGGAAGACGGUCCUACGGAUUGUAAACCUCUUUUGCCGGGGAGCAACGGGGUCCUUGCGAGGGCCCGAUGAGAGUACCCGGAGAAAAAGCAUCGGCUAACUCCGUGCCAGCAGCCGCGCUCAUACGGGGGAUGCGAGCGUUAUCCGGAUUUAUUGGGUUUAAAGGGUGCGUAGGCGGGCUGUUAAGUCAGCGGUCAAAUGUCGGGGCUCAACCCCGUACUGCCGUUGAAACUGGAUCCAUUGAGUGCGCGAGAAGUAUGCGGAAUGCGUGGUGUAGCGGUGAAAUGCAUAGAUAUCACGCAGAACUCCGAUUGCGAAGGCAGCAUACCGGCGCGCAACUGACGCUCAUGCACGAAAGCGUGGGUAUCGAACAGGAUUAGAUACCCUUGUAGUC
rnacentral:rRNA from 1 species